UCGCCCCAUGAAUAACUAAGUCCCGAGGGACAGGACAGAGUGGCGCCCAACGUGGGGCUCGAAGUACGGGUCUCUCUGGACGGACCCUGAAGCGAAGACCUCGGCCAAGGCAAGACUAGAGGCUCCCGUUUCAUCACCCGUGGGACGACAAGAGUCUGAAAAUGCUUGGCCCCUUGUUAUCUUCGCGCCUCUGCUUGUAGUCCGGCUGGUGAACCAGGUGAGCUCCGCAAUCAAGCCUGUUGGAGUCCACUACCAUCGUCUGGCUGGGGAAGAAGAAUCUGCCGUGGAGCUUCCACCUGAUGCCCCGGCCUCCCACCCCCUUGAUUUCUCCACCCUAGUAUCUCCUGGCCCGAGAUGGAAGUUCUGGGGCUGCUCUUCCAGUUAGACCUGGGCUUUUUUGACUCUCAUUAAUUGGCGCAAUGAUUGGCUUAUUUUAUGUAAUUGCUUAAAAACCAAGCGAUAAAUAGGUCCUAUCGGGAAAACAAACACGUUACACUACCACAAAGUGAGUGGUCUGGCAAGUCAGAGACAGAACGAGUGGAUAAGUCUCGGCCCGCCUAAGACAGGACGACCUCGCCCAGAGGAGGCCGAUCCAAUGACAAGUAAGGGUCCAGCACCACUCUUCUAACAGACUCAGACCCCGUUUGUGCCGUUCGUGACAAAUAAUUUUUCUCACAUAAUCAAGAUGGCUAAUAUACCUAGGGCCUUGCACUCUGAGGGAUUCUUCCCAUUGCACCAGAAAUGGCCUAGGUCUGCCUACGAUUGCCGUGAGACCUGAGUCACCGAACCUUUGUAAACUUAGUGAGUCCCCGGACCUAUAAAAUUCCCAAACUGUUUAUAAAAUCGCUGAGAGUCCUAAGAGGCCUCCCCCUCCUCUUUUAAAAGACAAAAAGGGAGGAGAUGUUGGGAACAAAGCCCUGGGACCCUUCCUAAGGGCCUGACCUGCCGGAUAAGCACCAGACGUCAGCAGGCCAUAGUUUCUUAAGACCCAUUGUUCCCGAAACUGUUUGCUUUGGGACACAUCCGUGACCACCGAUGUUAUCUUUGGGCCUUGUAACUCUUUAACCCACCUUGUUAGCCUUGGGGACUUCCCACCAAGGGCCCUGGUAUUUUUCCACUACUACUUCCCUUUUCUCGCCCCUCUCCCCCGCCCUGCCAGAACCGUGUUUUAAAAGAAACACCAAAGUUCAAUAAAGCUGACACUUG